rnacentral:lncRNA from 1 species
UCUGGCACCCUCUUCUGGAUUGUCUGAAGACAGCUACAGUGUACUUACAUACAAUAAAUUAAAAAAAAAAAAAAAAAGAAGAAGAAGAACGUGUGCUCACUGUGAGUAGAGCUGUGGAGGCUGAGGACUGAUAUAGUCCAGGCUGCCUAUUAUUUUUUUAAUGUAUAUGAGUACACUGUCUUCUGGCACAGCAGAAGAGGGCAUCAGAUCCCAUUACAGAAGGUCGUGAGCCACCAUGUGGUUGCUGGGAAUUGAACUCAGGACCCCUGGAAGAGCAGUCAGUGCUCUUAACUACUGAGUCAUCUCUCCAGCCUCCAGGCUGCCUUUUUGUUCGUUUUUUUUCAAGACAGGUUCUCUGUACAGGCCUGGCUGCCCUAGCAGGCUGGCGUUGAACUCAGAGAUCUACCUGCCUCUGCCUCUCAAGUGCUGAGAUCAAAGGUGUGCACCACCACUGUCUGGCUAGUCAGCAUUUUUUGUUUUGGAUUUCACCUCCACACUAGACUUGUAAAAACGCAUAUCAGAUGUUGACUCAGUAAUUGUUUUGGGUCAUUUAAAAUAGGCUUACCAUGGUUCUUAAAUUUAAUAAAAUUGACGGGUUUUUUUAACUAACAUCUUUUAUACAGAGUGGUGGCCUCAUAAUCUCAGAAAAAAGAUCAUCUCAGAAAAAAGAUCAUUUUGAAAAUAUUUCUGUCCAGUUAUUCAAUGAAUUCAAUGAGUGUGUGUUUUUGUUGUUGCCAUUUGUUUUUGAUUUUGGAUUGAUUGAGAAUGGCUUGUGCAGUUCUAUAGCUGCAGGCCAAGGUUCACAGACACUGUGCAGGAGUGGCGGCAGGAGCCCUGCUUGUGAGCCUUAAAACCAAAGAAGCUUCCAAAGUUGAUACACACACACACACACACACACACACACACACACACAAAUAAUUUCUACCACAUGCAUGCCUAGUGCUUAAGGAGGUAAUGAGUUUCCAUGUGGGUGCUGGGGAUCAGAUGGACCCUUUGCAAGAACAAGAAGUGCUCUUAAAGCUGGGCAUGGUGGCACUUGGGAGGCAGAGGCAGGCAGAUUUCUGAGUUCCAGGACAGCCAGGGCUAUACAGAGAAACCCUGUCUCGAAAAAACAAAAAAAAAAAAAAAGAAAGAAAGAAAAAAGAAAGAAGUACUCUUAACCAUUAUCCAGCAUUCUAGUGCACUUGUCUGUUUUGCUUUGUUUUGUUUUUUGAGUCAGGGUUUUUCUGUGUAUCCCUGGUUGUCCUGGAACUCACUCUGUAGACCAGGCUGGCCUUGAACUUAGAAAUCCGCCUGUUUCUGCCUCCCGAGUGCUGGGAUUAAAGGUGUGCGCCACCACGCCCGGCUUUGUUUUUAAGCCAUCAUUUUCUGGAAAUAAUUACUGUGGAGAUAGUUUUGCUUAUGUAGCCUGAGCUGGCUUGGAACUUGUUCUGUAGCUCAGGCUUGAUUUGAACUCAGUGAUCCUCCAGUUUCAGCUUCUUUUUUUUUUGGGUGUUUGCAUCGAGGUCACAUUUAUUUUAAAUACAGGGAGAUCUCUAUUUUUCAAGUGUUUCAGCUUCUUGAAUGCUAAGAUUGUAAAGAUAUAUUACCACAGCCAGCUCUGGCAGGAACUAUUGUAGGUGUGGAGGUUGUGUUGAUAAAAAAACAAAGUCCUUAUUAUACUCAUGGUGCUUAGUGGGUGGUAGACAGUAUCGAGUUACAGAAUGAAGUAAGCAGUGGUUUUAAGAUAGAUAAUUAGACAGACAGAUAGAUGGAUGCAUGCCUAUGUAUAUAUGUGGAGUUUUGUAUUUAAAAGAGCAGUUAAAACUCCAUAUGGGGGCUGGAGAGAUGGCUCAGUGGGUUAGAGCACCCGACUGCUCUUCUGAAGGUCUAGAGUUCAAAUCCCAGCAACCACAUGGUGGCUCACAACCAUCCGUAAUAAGAUCUGACUCCCUCUUCUGGAGUGUACUUACAUAUAAUGAAUAAAUAAAUCU